rnacentral:rRNA from 1 species
UACGGAGGAUCCAAGCGUUAUCCGGAUUUAUUGGGUUUAAAGGGUGCGUAGGCGGCCUAUUAAGUCAGGGGUGAAAGACGGUAGCUUAACUAUCGCAGUGCCCUUGAUACUGGUGGGCUUGAAUAGACUAGAGGUAGGCGGAAUGUGACAAGUAGCGGUGAAAUGCAUAGAUAUGUCACAGAACACCAAUUGCGAAGGCAGCUUACUAUGGUAUUAUUGACGCUGAGGCACGAAAGCGUGGGGAGCAAACAGG